UACCCAUAAAGUAUAGGAAAACGCCCAAAG
rnacentral:piRNA from 1 species